AUGAAAUACCUAGGCCUCCCGGUUUCCACUCGUAGAAUUCGUUUAGUGCACCUUCAAUUCCUUGUUGAUAGAAUUAGGGCUCGCCUUGCGGGUUGGAAGGGUAGGCUUAUGAAUCUUGCUGGUCGCCGAAUCCUAGUCCGUAGUGUGUUGUCAGUGCUACCAACAUUUGCGAUGACGGUGAUGCGGCUCCCAAAUAAGCUUCUGAAGGAUAUUGACAAGGCCAGACGGCGUUUCCUCUGGGCGCAGGAUGAAGAAUUGUCGAGCGGAAAGUGCAAAAUAAACUGG
rnacentral:rRNA from 1 species